CGCUGCUGGGAUCAGGAUGCCACUCUUGCCACCCUGGGAGUUGUCUGCAGCACAGGGGCAGCUGGAGGUGGGGGUAGUGUCCUCCGUGGCCAGCCCUGGCCAGGCCCUUGUCCCCACUACCCUCCCUGGCUGCCAGACCUCUCACUGCGAGGCAGCCAGGUCUCCCUGUCCUGGCAGGGGGAAGGCUGUUGCUCCCAUCUGGCUCUGCUCCUGGCCAUCUGCCCUCUGACCCCACCUGCCCCAGGCUGAGGGCCCCUGCAGGAUGCUCGAGUUAAACAGAGUCCGAGGGAGUAGUGAGUCCAGCCCUCCCUUUUGGCAGAUGAGAAAACUGCGGCCCAGGGAGGCAAAGAGGCUUGUCAGAGGUCACACCAGGAAUCCAGCAUUCUGUCUAUGGCUCGAUGUCCUCUCAGGACAGGAGAAGACCUUGGCUUUGACCUUCAGGAAACAGCAAAACUUGGACCCUGAAGACAGGAGAUUGCCAUGACUAAUUUGUGGGCAGGCAGUGUGACCUUGGGUAUGUUACCUAACCUCGCUGGGCUGCGUGAUGCUGGUGAGGAUUCGGUGAGAUGACAACUGGUCAGUGCCUGGCAGGACUCCUGGCACGUCCCUGACACUCCCAUCAAUGGGAGCUUUUGAUAUGAUUAGGAAGCAGGUAAGCCUCACCUUGAACAAAUCCAACUGAUGACAUUUGCUUUUAUGCAGACAUAGCAGUUCCCCUGACCUUUGUGCUGGUGUGGGAGGACGGUGUGUGAUGGGGAAGGGUCUGCCGCGAGUUUCUCUGGGUAUAGUCAGGCAGGACCAGGCGUACAUCCUGCUCUGCCCCCAGAAGCUGUGAUACAAGAGAGGGGCUUGGUGUCUCUGGGCCUCAUCUUGCCCAUCUGCCAAAUGGGAGCAAUGGCGCAUCUCUCUGCAUUCUGCUGUGCCCCUCAGUGAGAUAACUUCGGGAUGCAGAGCCUGGUUAGCGCGGGCCUUACAGAAGUCCAUCGUCCUCACCAACUAAAGAUGCAGUUCUGGAGAAAGUGCUCGCCUGGUUGUGAGGAGUCUGACCCGGGAGCCUGGGUGCACAUGUGGCUCAUUCGAGUGAAGGGAAGAAGGAUGCUUACUCCUCUCCCAGCCUGGAUCCAGAAGGGAGUGAGGCCCAGGGACCUCCUUGCAGCUCCAGCCUCCAAUAACCAGGGGAGAGUGGGCUGCCUGUGGUCCUCAGGCCUGGAGGCCUCAUGGAGCCGCUCCAGAGUUCUCCAAAGACCUGCCUACGGGCAGGGGAAGAAAAGCAUGGCUGUCCACCCCCAGCUGGCCAAGGGCCUGCCAAGCCUCCCGGUCCAGUGACAGUCGGAGAGCUCCUCGGCCCUCCGCCUGGACUCAGGCCCACCAUGUUCCUACCACGUUUAUUCCAUUGAAACUCUUUCUACAAUGCUUUAUCUGUGCCAGGCACCAUUCUGAGUGCUUUAAGAUAUUUAUCCUCUUUAUGAAGUAGGUACUAUUGUGUCCCCAUUUUACAGAUGAGGAAACUGAGGCACAGAGAGGGCAAGGGACCAGCCCACUUUCCCCCAGGCUUUUGCUGCUGACUUUUGGAGAUUUAAUUCUCGACCUUCUUAGGUGUGUUCUGCCUUCCACUCAGCAGGCUCCAUCCAGCCCCUGGGCCUUUGCCCACAGUGCUUCCCUCUGCCCAGACACCAGUGAGGUGGAUGCUGCCUGGGUAGAAGCUGGCAUGCAGAUGGUGGCAAGGUAGAUAGCGAAAGGACAAGGGCCCUGGGACCGGCCAUGCCUGGGAUCUGCUGCAGGCAGCUAUGGGAUCCGGGACAAGUGGCUUCAUGCCUCUGCAGCCGCCCUUCUUCUGGGAAGUGGAGGUAAACCUUUAUUCAAAAGACUGUCACAGGAAUUGAACACGUGAACCUGUAUAAAGUGCCAGACACAGUGUCCGGCAUGCAACUGUUCAUUAAUUAAUGUAAGAGUCUGCUCUUUAGAGCCAGAUGUGGUGACCCACGCCGUAAUCCAGGCUACUCAGAAGGCUGAGGCAGGAGGAUCCAUUGAGGCCUGGAGUUGGAGACCAGCUUGGGCAACAUACACAGACCCUGUCUCUAAAAAAAUAAAACUAAAUUAAGAUUCUCUUCUUUUUCUCCCCAGCCUGUCCUCUUGCCCGUCAAAGCCCAGCUCAUUCCAGAAGCCUUUGCCCCCCUUUCCAGUGCAAAGUCCCCAGUUACAGGUGUCCCCAGAGCACCUUCUGUCUGUUUCACUCAGCUUGGUACCUGG
ensembl:lncRNA